CUUGGGACCAAUGCAGAUGUAAUCAUGACCUUGCCUCUGUGCACUUCAGGGCUACAGCUCUGAGCAGUUUGGGGUUGUCAGGAAACAUCUUACUAUACAGACCAGGCUGGCCUCCAACUUUUGAUCCUCCCAACUCAACUGCCUGAAUGGCAGGAUCAUAGUCCUAUACUACCACACUUGAAUGGAUAUAUAAACAUAGGAUGUAAUUCUAUAAUAUA